UACGUAGGCAGCAAGCGUUGUUCGGAGUUACUGGGCGUAAAGGGUGUGUAGGCGGUCUUCUAAGUUUGGUGUGAAAUCUCCCGGCUCAACUGGGAGGGUGCGCCGAAAACUGGGAGGCUAGAGUGCGGGAUGGGAGAGUGGAAUUCCUGGUGUAGCGGUGAAAUGCGUAGAUAUCAGGAGGAACACCUGCGGCGAAGGCGGGUUGCUGGGCUGACACUGACGCUGAGGCGCGAAAGCUAGGGGAGCAAACGGG
rnacentral:rRNA from 1 species